rnacentral:rRNA from 1 species
GGAGUCUAGCAUGUGCGCGAGUCAUUGGGACUAGCGAAACCUAAAGGCGUAAUGAAAGUGAAGGCGCGCUCCGCGCGCCGAGGGAGGAUGGGCCCGGUCCAGGCCGGGCCCCGCACUCCCGGGGCGUUUCGUUCUCAUCGCGAGAAGAGGCGCACCCAGAGCGUACACGCUGGGACCCGAAAGAUGGUGAACUAUGCCUGGUCAGGACGAAGUCAGGGGAAACCCUGAUGGAGGUCCGUAGCGAUUCUGACGUGCAAAUCGAUCGUCGGAACUGGGUAUAGGGGCGAAAGACUAAUCGAACCAUCUAGUAGCUGGUUCCCUCCGAAGUUUCCCUCAGGAUAGCUGGUGCUCGUCUUUACGAGUCUCAUCCGGUAAAGCGAAUGAUUAGAGGCAUUGGGGUCGAAACGGCCUCAACCUAUUCUCAAACUUUAAAUGGGUGAGAACUCCGGCUUGCUUAGAUCGUGAAGCCGCGAGAUUCUCCUAGAGGAUCAGAGUGCCAAGUGGGCCAUUUUUGGUAAGCAGAACUGGCGCUGUGGGAUGAACCAAACGCAGAGUUAAAGCGCCUAAAUCGACGCUUAUGGGAUACCAUGAAAGGCGUUGGUAACUUAAGACAGCAGGACGGUGGCCAUGGAA